rnacentral:lncRNA from 1 species
GCAGAGCUGAGUUUCUCGAUGCCCAAAGUUCUUCCUGAGUCAGAGGUUAAUCUCCACCUGCUGGCAGCACCUGGGUCUACAUGUGCUGUCUGGGCUGUGGAUCAAACUGCCUUUUCGCUGAAGCCAGAAAAAGAACUCAGUGACUCUGUGGUGAGUGAGUCUGCUCUAACUUCUUUGCACUGACAAGAAGAGGGGUGGGAGGAAGAGAGACAGGCUGUUGCAUCUUUUCAGAGAUUGUCUCUCAAGGAACUCAAAGCACUGACUAGAAGGAUCAAGGUUUUCUUAGUGUGGCACAGCUAAGGAUUAGGAAGCAUCAGUUAAGGAGAUUGAAUGCCACUCUACACCAGUAGUAAAUCUAGACCCAGCUUUUUUUGCUCUGUCUCAUAUUCAGUUCAGCAGAUUGUGCUGGAUCUAUUGGAGAAGAGCCAGAGAAGAAUGACAUUGAGCCUGUUUUUCUGACAUACAUUCACGCAUGAUAGCCAGGAGCAAUUCAAACUGGCCUUGGAUAUACUACACAAAGCGAAUGCCAGAUAUUAUUUGUGCUGACUUUUUUCUUUUGCUUUUCUUGCUUUCCAAGAUCUAUGGGCUCUUUCCAUCUGUUUAUAACUCUGGGUAUCCUCAUCAAGUGUCUGAAGAUGAUCAUUUAUGCAGGUUCCAAAAUUCUGAUCAGCCUGAUGUGUUUACAGCAUUCAAGGAAACGGGAUUGAAAAUUAUGUCCAACACCAACAUCAGAAAACCAAGUCUCUGUCUAACUACUCAGUCAACAACUAUGAUACAGGAAAGAGGGAUGUUCACUUCCAGGCCCAUGUUGAUGUUUGCUCAGCCUCAUGAAGAAUAUAACAUCCCAGUGGAAACCAGACUGUCACCGUCACUGUUCCUAACACCAUCACAGGAUGGAAAGCUGGGAUGUUCUGCACAGGACGUAAUGGCUUUGGACUUGCUCCAGCCUCCAGUCUGCUUGUUUUCAAGCCCUUUUUUGUGGAGCUCACACUUCCAUCUUCUGUGA